GGGCAGCCCAGCCACUUCAGCCACCAGGCCCUCGUGCGCAGGCGCAAUGACAGCCCAAUGGUCCUCUACAGGUCCGGGAGUUUACAGAAAGGGAGAGAGACUAGAAGCAGAGCCAAGGCCGUGCUAGUAAGGACGAGGUGAGGAAAGACUGUACCUAAGACCCGUGGAAAUCCUCUCACAGUCCGGAGCAGGGGCUCUUCUGGUAAAUUGAGGGUGCCUUCCUCCAAGAUUCCAUACAGAAGCAGACUUUAGACUUCUCUCCAAAAGAAUCCUCAACUCCUCUCCCUAUUCCAACUCCCUGUCCAGAGGAAAGGAAGUGGCCAAUCUGAUUACUGUUAAACAAAAUUCACCUGAGUAGAUUUGAAGAUCUAACUGGCUUUACUCAAUGAUCCAUGAAUAGGGCAGCAUCCCAUCUGAAACCUGAUGAUAACCAGAUAAUGACAUUUGUCUUGAAAUCAUCUGACAUACUCUGAUUGUACCAACUCCUGGAUGGCACCUUACUGUCCAGAAGAAAGCGCCCAUUCGGAUGUUUCAAGGCUUCCCUGCUCUGAGAUUUUAAUAAACGCAUCACCAUCCUGAUGUUGGCAUGCUGGGUCUAAGGACCCAGAGGGGCCCUGCAGGACCAGCCAAGAGGGUCCUUGGCUUUGCACAGGAUUGAAAUCA